GUUGCUUUUGGCCAGGUUUAAGGCGUGUGCCUGCUAAGUGGCAUGGUUUCCGCGAGAGUUCGAAUCUCUCAGGCAACG
rnacentral:tRNA from 1 species